UACGUAGGGGGCAAGCGUUGUCCGGAUUUAUUGGGCGUAAAGAGCGUGUAGGCGGCUUUACAGGUCCGUUGUGAAAACUCGAGGCUCAACCUCGAGACGCCGGUGGAAAACCGUAAGGCUAGAGUCCGGAAGAGGAGAGUGGAAUUCCUGGUGUAGCGGUGAAAUGCGCAGAUAUCAGGAGGAACACCCGUGGCGAAAGCGGCUCUCUGGGACGGUACUGACGCUGAAGACGCGGAAAGCGUGGGGAGCAAACAGG
rnacentral:rRNA from 1 species